GGAUCCUCCAAAAGUAGUGCAUUUUUUAAGGAUCCGACACGGGUGCGGCCACAUUUUGAAGAGUCCGCGCAACAUAGCUCAAAACUGAGGAAAUCAAAGUAGGCAGUGUUCCUCAAGGCGUUAAUCUAAUCAAAGCAAGACUUGGGUCAAAGAAGGUUCUAAUUGCUCUUGAUGACAUGGACCACAAACAGCAAUAGAUUCCUUAACACGAGAAAGAAGUUAGUUUGGUUCGGGUAGUUUAAUAAUCAAUACAACCCGAGACGAGCAAUUGCUAUGUCAGCUUGGAGAAAAUGAGAAAUAUGAGGCCAAACUAUUAAAUGGCUACCAUUAGCUCUUGUGACAUUGGGAUCACAUUUGCAAGGAAGAUCGGCAGAAGAAUGGAGAUGCGAAUUCAAUAAACUAAGAGCAAUUCCUCAUUGUGAUAUCCAAAUAUUCUCAAAAUAAGCUUUGAUGGACUUGACGAUGCCUGAUCUAGUGCAAGAUAUGGGAAGAGAAAUCGUUCGCAUGGAAUCACCCUUAGACCCUGGCAAACAGAGUAGAUUGUUCAUCCCUCAAGAAGUUCGUGAUGUUCUGCAAGGAAAUGAAAACAGGUUCCGAAAAUGUAGAAGUAUUGAAGGUAGAUCGAGGGACACUAAAGGGAAUGAACUUGAGCACCAAACCAUUUGAGCAAAUGAAGAAUCUUAGGGUGUUUAUAAUCAAUGAGUUAUAUAUUAGUGGAGAUUUUGGGUUGUCGUCCAAGAAGCUCAAAUGGUUGUCUUGGCAAAACUGUCCUUUAAAAUGUAUACCAUCAAAAUUUUCAGCUGAGAAACUUUUAGUUCUAGAUAUGCUGGGACAGUGAUAUCCAAGAGUUUGGUUUGAAUAUGCAGGUUUGUUAGUCGACUCUAUAAUUUGGGAGCGUUACAUACUGUAAUUUGUCUGAUAUCCUUAAGAAUAUUGGGAGCUUAUCAUCCUUAAAAUAUUUGAAUUUGAGUGGCAACAGUUCCAUUGUCUA